GGAGUGGUUCGGUUCAGGGAGAAGAUCUCCACUUGGCCAUGGUUGAAGUUGCCUCCUCCAGCAGCAACCUGAACUCCAGUGGAAAAAGGCUUAUCUAGGCACCUGGCCGUGGCUAAUGGACAUACAAAGAGAAGCUGGGACUGGAUGCUUCAGCACUCUGUUGGUGGCGGACGGUGCAUUAUGUCGAGUAGAGGUUGAGAUUACAUCACUGCUAUGAGAAACACAUUUAACGGUGUAAUUGAACGAAUUCAGAACAGACAGGAGCAGCCGAGUUCUUCCGAGAGUCUUGUAGAAAGGUAAGUACUUCAAGUUAUCUGUAAAGGACUCCAAGUGAUGUUCACAAGGUUGACGUUUGCGUCGGUUUUGUAACAUUAUUUAUGUUGUGUCUCUUUAAGCUAACCAUAAUAAACCAUUGACGGAGUAAUUUAAGUAAGUCAUGUUUAAGUGAUGUUAAUAAAAUACUCCGUGUCGUUGUCUACGUGAAUUUGAACAUUUUAUUGCGGAGACAAGUUGGGAUUCUUGUAACAUUAAUGCAUCCAUGGUUGAAGUGCGCGCUAUAGUGUUGGCUAACAUUACCCUAUUUAGCAAGCUAACUUUGCAAAAAUGCCAUGUUUGGAAACGACGUUGGAUAGAAAGAUUUCAGCCAUUUAAGGUUUUAUAAAAUGGAGGACUUGACUCACGCCGUUUCAGCAGCUUGGUUUUAAAUGUAUAUUGAUGGCAGUGAAAUAACAGUUUGACAGUAGGCCUACAUUUACUACAGUCUCUUAAAGAGGUUUCUAAAACGGUUACCCAGUAUUUUAUGUCUAGGUUAUCCACUCCGUUUUGAUUACAAUUUAUUCUUUUAGGAGACUUUGGCUAAUUAGACUUUUGGCUUUGCUUCACAGUCUGCACAUUUUCUGUCACUUUUUCAGGUUGCGGAUUUUCAGGGAAAAUGAUGCCCCCAGUAGAGGGCCAAGGAGGAGGGGGCAAACAAGACUUGCCACUUUCAGAGUUGGUCUCCUCCUCCAUCCUGAUAUGGAAACAUUCCACCCACAAAAAGCGGAAGCUUUGAGAAAAAUAAAGGUGCCAGUGUCCUUGUCAGCAGAGGAGUUCCAUGCUGUCCUCAGAAAUGCGUUUCCGAGAGUGGGCAGCACGGAUUUUGAGUUGGCAAGGGUAGAUUGUCAUAAAAAAAUUACAAGGCUUCAAGUUUCUCCACUGUCACCAUCUGUGCUGAAAGCCAGCAGAGAGCUUAAUCGAUCAGCUUUAUAUAUAUACUCCCAAAGGAGAGUCUGGCAGAGCAGGUCGGAGAACAGCAAGAUGGGUGUAAUGAUGCAGUAGAAGUCUUGGCCUCUUGCCAAAGCCUGGACCAAGAUGAUG